GACACAUUGCGCAGGUCCAAGUAUCGCAGCGCUUUCAAGUUACAAAACGCUUUGUCGUGUAUCCCGUCGUAUACCGGAUUGUUGGCCAACGAAAGAGAAAGAAGAAUCGUUGGAGGUGAUUGUGCGACAGAUCCAGUGUUUUGAGGCUCGGAAGAUUAGUGGAACAAUCGAGGAAGCUGUCGAACUGGUUGUUCCGAAGAAUUAAAUCGGUGAUCUCCGACAGGGACACUUGCGACUGGAGAUUCAAGAAGAAGUCCUCCUUCUUCAAGUUUUUGCCUGACAGAUCGAGCUGCAACGCCAAAAGAAAUUCCGUGGAAAAAAAGGAGCGAUGAAGAAAAAGGAAGCGACGAAGGGAGAGGGAGCGUCGAAGGAAAAGGAGCGUUGGAGGAAAUGGAAAGGAAAAUAAAAGAGUUGGAAAGAGUUGUCGACAUCCUCGCCCAAGAAGAUGACUCUUCUUCGCAGAAGGCGAGGGUAGGAAUGUCUCCGUUCAGCUGGGAGAAUUCCUAUCCGGGAAGUCCUCAAGAAAGAAACACCCAAGCCUCAAGAGUCAAGAGGAAGGGCGAGGAUUAGUCGAGAGGUUACCUCGAACCGGAACACUGGCGCCUUACUCAAGGUUUUUGAGCGGUUUUCCUUGAGUCGAUGGACGAAUGUCGAGGCGCAAGUUGUCUGGUAAAGGCCGCUCAGGCGGCAUCUAUUCAGUACGGCUCCC